rnacentral:rRNA from 1 species
GAUGAACGCUGGCGGCGUGCCUAAUACAUGCAAGUCGAGCGAACGGACGAGAAGCUUGCUUCUCUGUUGUUAGCGGCGGACGGGUGAGUAACACGUGGAUAACCUACCUAUAAGACUGGGAUAACUUCGGGAAACCGGAGCUAAUACCGGAUGAUAUUUUGAACCGCAUGGUUCAAAAGUGAAAGACGGUCUUGCUGUCACUUAUAGAUGGAUCCGCGCUGCAUUAGCUAGUUGGUAAGGUAACGGCUUACCAAGGCAACGAUGCAUAGCCGACCUGAGAGGGUGAUCGGCCACACUGGAACUGAGACACGGUCCAGACUCCUACGGGAGGCAGCAGUAGGGAAUCUUCCGCAAAGGGCGAAAGCCUGACGGAGCAACGCCGCGUGAGUGAUGAAGGUCUUCGGAUCGUAAAACUCUGUUAUUAGGGAAGAACAUAUGUGUAAGUAACUGUGCACAUCUUGACGGUACCUAAUCAGAAAGCCACGGCUAACUACGUG